rnacentral:rRNA from 1 species
UGUGAGAGUGGAAAGUUCACACUGUGGACGGUAUCUUACCAGAAAAGGGACGGCUAACUACCGUGCCAAGCAGCCGCGGUAAUACGUAGGUCCCCGAGUGUUGUCCGGAUUUAUUGGGCGUAAAGCGAGCGCCAGGCGGUUAGAUAAGUCUGAAGUUAAAGGCUGUGGCUUAACCAUAAGUUACGCUUGGAAACUGUUUAACUUUGAGUGCAAGAGGGGAGAGUGGAAUUCCAUGGUGGUACGGUGAAAUGCGUAGAAUAUAUGGAGGAACACCGGUGGGGCGAAGCGGCUCUCUGGCUUGUAACUGACGCUGAGGCUCGAAAGCGUGGGGAGCAAACAGGAUUUAGAUACCCUGGUAGUCCACGCCGUAAAACGAUGAGUGCUAGGUGUUAGACCCUUUCCGGGGGUUAGUGCCGCAGCUAACGCAUUAAGCACUCCGCUUGGGGAUACGACCGCAAGGUUGAACUCAAAGGGAAUGACGGGGGCCCGCACAAGCGGUGGAGCAUGUGGUUUAAUUCGAAGCAACGCGAAGAACCUUACCAGGUCUUGACAUCCCUCUGACCGCUCUAGAGAUAGAGUUUUCCUUCGGGACAGAGGUGACAGGUGGUGCAUGGUUGUCGUCAGCUCGUGUCGUGAGAUGUUGGGUUAAGUCCCGCAACGAGCGCAACCCCUAUUGUUAGUUGCCAUCAUUCAGUUGGGCACUCUAGCGAGACUGCCGGUAAUAAACCGGAGGAAGGUGGGGAUGACGUCAAAUCAUCAUGCCCCUUAUGACCUGGGCUACACACGUGCUACAAUGGCUGGUACAACGAGUCGCAAGCCGGUGACGGCAAGCUAAUCUCUUAAAGCCAGUCUCAGUUCGGAUUGUAGGCUGCAACUCGCCUACAUGAAGUCGGAAUCGCUAGUAAUCGCGGAUCAGCACGCCGCGGUGAAUACGUUCCCGGGCCUUGUACACACCGCCCGUCACACCACGAGAGUUUGUAACACCCGAAGUCGGUGAGGUAACCUUUUAGGAGCCAGCCGCCUAAGGUGGGAUAGAUGAUUGGGGUGAAGUCGUAACAAGGUAACC